GCGCACUACGGAAUUCUACUACGGAGCCACCCACAGGUACCUGGUUACCUCUUCUAGGCUCUGGGAAAAGUCCCCGGAAUGGCAACAGAGAGUGUUGGGAGCGUAAAGCUCAUCCUUCCUCAGUCUACGUCGUGCAGUUCCUGAGAAGCCCUUGGGCUGAGGAUCGGUGGGACUGGGGUCAAGUUCACAGCAAAGUAAUGUAGAUGGCGUGCGCAUGCAUGCUAGCUCAACGGGGCUCAAUCCCGAAGUGCG
rnacentral:RNase_MRP_RNA from 1 species